GACACAGUCUGGCCCUCAGGCACCUAACGAAAGGGGGACGGGGGUUCUGCCAAAUCAGGCCCCAAACAACGUUGACCGUGGACCGAUAUCGCCCCCUCUCCCAAGUACUUCCUAGACAGAGAAAUAGCCAUAACUGGGAAGGCCCCUGGCCAAUGCAACAGAGUGCCUGGACCCCGCUCCCGCCUUGUAUCUCUGGAGGGAGAGAACGGGCUAAUUAGGGGUGGAGUCUAGGCAGUUUUUUUCCAUAAAAAGCUAAGGCUUAAACCAGGUAUGGCAGCUUACACCUGUAAUUCCAGGGCGUAUUGUGCUGAUAGGAUCGCCUCAAAGUUCAAGGCCAGCCUAAGCUACCCAGUGAGAUCCUGUCUCCAAAAACUUAAGGCUCAGCACCAAAGGUGGCAAUGUGUGCCUGGGACCCCACAUUUGGGAAACAGAGGCAGGAGGAUUAUAAAUGUAAAGGCCCUUAAUUACGGAGACCAUGUUUCAAAAACAAAAGGGGAAGGGAUCUGGGGGGAUGGCUCAGUGGGUAAAAUGCUCACUCUUGAGACCAAAUCCCCAGAACCCACAUAAAAGGCAGCAUUGAAGUUUCCGUGCAUAGCCCUGUAACCCUAGCCCCACUAAGAGGCAGAGACAGGAGGAUCACUGGGGCUUGCUGGCUUUCAAAAUCGCUCUGGAUUUAGUGAGAGGCGAAAACAGGGUGGAGAACAGCACAGCUCUCGAACACCCAACUUCCGCUGUGACCUCUGCAUAUAGGGAUGCAAGGGUAUGCAGAACUCAUGGCCACACACAUUAAAAACAAGCAAACAAACCACGAAAACAAACCUAAAUGAAUAAAAGUCUGAGAUGUA
rnacentral:lncRNA from 1 species